CGUUCUAUGGCCGGAUUUGUAAAGGCAUCGCCGAUCACAGGCAAGGUUGCGGGUUCGAGUCCCGCUGGAACGA
rfam:Operophtera brumata OBRT01_Sc08933, whole genome shotgun sequence.